rnacentral:misc_RNA from 1 species
GUAGGUGAACCUGCGGAAGGAUCAUUACCGAGUUCAUGCCCUCCCGGGUAGAUCUCCCACCCUCUGUAUACUAUACCUUUGCUGCUUUGGCGGGCCGCCUAGCUACUGGCUUCGGCUGGUAAGUGCCCGCCAGAGGACCCAAAACCCUGAAUAUUAGUGUCGUCUGAGUAAAAUUUUAAUAUUUAAAACUUUCAACAACGGAUCUCUUGGCUCUGGCAUCGAUGAAGAACGCAGCAUCUGACUGACUAAG